rnacentral:tRNA from 1 species
GCCGCUGCGAGCGGCGGCUACGCUGAGGGUGCGUGCUUCGUAGCGGCGGCUUGCAGCCGCCGGCGUUCGAUGCACGAGCGACGGUU